UACGGAGGGUGCGAGAGUUGUCCGGAAUCACUGGGCGUAAAGGGCGCGUAGGCGGCCUGAUAAGUAGGGGGUGAAAUCCUGCGGCUUAACCGCAGGGCUGCCUUCUAAACUGUCAGGCUUGAGCACAGUAGAGGCAGGUGGAAUUCCCGGUGUAGCGGUGGAAUGCGUAGAGAUCGAGAGGAACACCAGUGGCGAAGGCGCCUCACUGGCCGGUUACUGACACUGAGCUGCGAAAGCAAGGGGAGCAAACAGG
rnacentral:rRNA from 1 species